AUCUCUCUCACUCUCUCAUCCGCUCUGUCUCCCAUCUCUCGCUCUCUCUCAUCUCUCACUCUUCGCUUCGGAUGAGCUCUGCCCAGCGACAGAGGAGAGGCCACCUACCUUCCGGCGAGCUCCGCGAUGGAGGAGAGGGGGCCGCAUCGGAGCUUCCUACGAGCUCCGCGAUAGAGGGGAGGUGGCCGCGUUGAAGGGUAGGGAGACGGAGGGGAGUGGACGGCGACAGACUGAAGCGGCUGAGGCGGCGUCCACGGAGGUCUCCCGUCGAUCUCCGUGACAGAGGGUAGCGCGGGGUGUGGAGGGGACGGCGGAGGCACCCGGUGUCUACGGAGGUCUCUCCCUUCGAUCUCCGCGACGGAGGGCAGCGCGGGGUGGAGGGGACGGCGGAGGCGCCCGGCUAUGGGAGGAGCGGCGGCGCGGGGUACCGGCAGUUGCCGUACCCCCGAGGCCUGGGCAGUUUGGCCGGGAGGAGAGGAGGGCUGCUCCUCGUAUCUUGCCAAGGCGUCAGCCAUGCCCUCCUCGUCCUCGCACAUCGGGGUUGCUGGUGCUUCUGCGUUAGCCUGCCCUCUUUGCGUUGGUCGAGGCUAGCGUGAGGAGGAGCGGCGGCUGCGGCGUUGGUCGAGGCCAGCGAGGGGAGGAGCGGCGGCUGUGCCGUUGGACAUGGCCGGCGAGGGGAGGAGCGGUGGUGACGAUGGUUGGGUUUCGGCUACCAUAUCGUAUAAGUGUCCUCUCUCGCUGAAGCUCUUCAUGGCUAGCACGUGGUACUGCAGAAGAUUUUUCAGUAUUCUUUGCUGCUAUGUUUCUAGGAUCAUAUCACCAUCAAAAUGCAUUCAUAUUCAACAGUUUGAGCUAUGUGAAAUUCCUCCUUAAUCAGCAUGAUGCCCAUAGGCAUAGGCAACACGGUAGAAGCUGGGCCAAUCAUGACAGGAUCUUCUUCUUAUUAGGUUGAUUACAAACAUCACUCUACUAAUUUUAUGACUCCUAAAAUUGCAAAACAAUCUUUUAGUUUCACUCAAGCUCUCUUCCACGGUUUAAGUAUGUCAUCUGUAAUGCCAUUAACUAAUGUGAAUCUGCUAGUAUCUGAAUUUGAUUAGAGUCAUAGCACAUGACAUGAAAUGUAUGUGAGCCUAUGGAUCCGUUCUGCUGUGAUGUGCAAUAUUCGAUGAGAUAUCUUCCAGCUCCCAUUUGAGCAUCACUGGUUGUUGCAAUGACUGUCAUAGCCGACUUCAUGGCAUACCUCCUCUCGGCCUACAAUGACGCCUUCGUGCACUUAGGCUCUAUGGCAUACAAAGGUGUUGAGAUUUGUGCAGGCGCCAACCGUCAUCUCAACAUUUGGAGAGCUCGUUUGUCAGCUAUGAUUCCCAGGAAAAUACAUGAUGCUGUGCAACAUCUUGCCAGACCCUACAAGCUCUUGCUGAUGUUGUGGAUGCAAGACAGGUGAUUGGAAAUUAAACUCUGUUAACACUGAUGCCUACAUUGACCGUGGAGUGUUCUGCCAUACCAUGUAUUGCACUAAUGUGGAGUGUUCUGCUGCUAUAGCCUAUAACUCUUGUUUUUUGGAGGUCGUGGUAGGAUGAUAUAAAGGGAAAAGUUGCUUUCAUGAUAUAUCAACUGGUGAACUAUCUUGGACAGUUCAGACAGACGGAGAGACAUUCACUGAUGGACGUACAAAACAAUGAAGUUGAGUUGAGACACUGGUCUGACCUUGAGUUACGAUCAAGCGGGCGAGGGUGGGGACGGUGGCCACCGACUCUGAUCCCGCUGGCAAGGAGAGCAGCGGCGUUGCAGCGGACUGGGCCGCGGAGGAGAACGAUUUAGGGUUGUUGCAGAUGCCGAGGAGGCGGCGGCCACGAUCCCCUAGAUGAAGAGGGGGCGGCGUCCGAUCCCAUCGCCCCGCUCUGGCUUGCCUGCUGCCGAUGAGGUAGAUGUGGACGACAACUUCGCUUGCCUGCUGCCGAUGACGUUGAUUAGGACGGCAGCUCCGGCUUGCCGACAAAGGACGAGUACUCGUGCAAGCGGCGGCGGCUGGCGGCCGCGAUGGAGGAGAGGGGGCUGCGACUCUCCAACGAUCCGCACGACAGGGGGGGAAGGGCGGCGGUAGCAUCGCCGGCGGCGGCGGGCGUUCAUGAGUCAAGAGUAUCGUGGUUUUUUUUAUCACGGUAUAAGCAUUGUGGCCUUCUUUUCACAUGUCUACGAUGACGAGCUUGGUUUUUUUUAUCGGAUUCUGAUUUGACGAGUUGACUUCUAAAACGUUCGUUUAUAAUUGGUGAAGCAUUAUAGAAGUUACAUAAAAACUAUUACCAAUUUAAUCAA